CCCUUAGAUGUUCUGGGCCGCACGCGCGCUACACUGAUUCAUGCAACGAGUUUUGUCCUUGGCUGAAAGGCCUGGGUAAUCUUUGAACGUGAAUCGUGCUGGGGAUAGAUGAUUGCAAUUAUUCAUCUUCAACGAGGAAUUCCUAGUAAACGCAAGUCAUCAGCUUGCAUUGAUUACGUCCCUGCCCUUUGUACACACCGCCCGUCGCACCUACCGAUUGAAUGGUCCGGUGAAAUCUUCGGAUCUGAGAGAUGUCUGAUUAAUUUCGGACGCCUUUUGGAAAAGUUGUUUAAACCUUACCAUUUAGAGGAAGGUGAAGUCGUAACA
rnacentral:rRNA from 1 species